rnacentral:piRNA from 3 species
CUCCCUCGCUGCGAUCUAUUGAAAG